AAGUCGUAACAAGGUUUCCGUAGGUGAACCUGCGGAAGGAUCAUUACAGAGUUCAUGCCCUCACGGGUAGACCUCCCACCCUUGUGUAUCUAUACCAUGUUGCUUUGGCAGGCUGCUCGCCCCCUCGGGGGAGAGCCUCAGCGCCCCUGGGCCUGAGAGUCGCCUGCCGGAGGAAAAACAAACUCUGAACUGUUAGUGUCGUCUGAGUACUAUAUCUUAAUAGUUAAAACUUUCAACAACGGAUCUCUUGGUUCUGGCAUCGAUGAAGAACGCAGCGAAAUGCGAUAAGUAAUGUGAAUUGCAGAAUUCAGUGAAUCAUCGAAUCUUUGAACGCACAUUGCGCCCCUUGGUAUUCCGGGGGGCAUGCCUGUUCGAGCGUCAUUUCAACCCUCAAGCUCAGCUUGGUAUUGGGCCUCCGCCGGUCACACGGCGGGCCUUAAAAUCAGUGGCGGCGCCGUUGGGUCCUGAACGUAGUAAUAUACCUCUCGUUACAGGGUCCCCGCGUGCUCCUGCCGUUAAACCCCCAAUUUUCUAUGGNUGACCUCGGAUCAGGUAGGGAUACCCGCUGAACUUAAGCAUAUCAAUAAGCGGAGGAAAAGAAACCAACAGGGAUUGCCUCAGUAACGGCGAGUGNAGCGGCAAAAGCUCAAAUUUGAAACCUGGCUCUUUCAGGGUCCGAGUUGUAAUUUGUAGAAGAUGCUUCGGGUGUGGUCCCGGUCUAAGUUCCUUGGAACAGGACGUCAUAGAGGGUGAGAAUCCCGUAUGUGACUGGGUACCUACGCUCAUGUGAAGCUCUUUCGACGAGUCGAGUUGUUUGGGAAUGCAGCUCAAAAUGGGUGGUAAAUUUCAUCUAAAGCUAAAUAUUGGCCAGAGACCGAUAGCGCACAAGUAGAGUGAUCGAAAGAUGAAAAGCACUUUGGAAAGAGAGUUAAACAGUACGUGAAAUUGUUGAAAGGGAAGCGCCUGCAAUCAGACUUGCGCCUAGUUGAUCAUCCGGGCUUCUGCCCGGUGCACUCGAUUAGGCCCAGGCCAGCAUCGGUUUGGGUGGUUGGAUAAAGGCUUGGGGAACGUAGCCUCCUUCGGGGGGUGUUAUAGCCCCAGGUGCAAUGCAGCCCACCUGGACCGAGGACCGCGCUUCGGCUAGGAUGCUGGCGUAAUGGUUGUAAGCGACCCGUCUUGAAACACGGACC
rnacentral:rRNA from 1 species